rnacentral:rRNA from 2 species
CACGCCGUAAACGAUGAUAACUAGCUGUCCGGGCACUUGGUGCUUGGGUGGCGCAGCUAACGCAUUAAGUUAUCCGCCUGGGGAGUACGGUCGCAAGAUUAAAACUCAAAGGAAUUGACGGGGGCCUGCACAAGCGGUGGAGCAUGUGGUUUAAUUCGAAGCAACGCGCAGAACCUUACCAGCGUUUGACAUCCUCAUCGCGAUUUCCAGAGAUGGAUUUCUUCAGUUCGGCUGGAUGAGUGACAGGUGC